UCUUUGCCUUCUCCACAUCUCAAAUUUAUAUUCUUUAAGAAUCACAAAUUCCUAGGAUUUUAACUUAAAAUUGAGUCCAUAAUCCCAACACUUUUACCAUUUACCUUUUUCACUUCUUUCUUUUCACCUUUCCUAUAAAGAACAUCAUCAAUACGUGCAGAAUCUAGCUUAUGAAUUGAAUGAAAACUGGACUGAGAAAUUG
rnacentral:misc_RNA from 1 species